GAAAUGCGAUAAGUAAUGUGAAUUGCAGAAUUCAGUGAAUCAUCGAAUCUUUGAACGCACAUUGCGCCCGCCAGUAUUCUGGCGGGCAUGCCUGUUCGAGCGUCAUUUCAACCAUCAAGCCCCCGGCUUGUGUUGGGGACCUGCGGCUGCCCGCAGGCCCUGAAAAACAGUGGCGGGCUCGCUGUCACACCGAGCGUAGUAGCAUACUUUCUCGCUCAGGGCGUGCUGCGGGUUCCGGCCGUUAAACGACCUUCAUAACCCAAGGUUGACCUCGGAUCAGGUAGGAAGACCCGCUGAACUUAAGC
rnacentral:misc_RNA from 1 species